rnacentral:rRNA from 1 species
UCAAGCAUUAAGAGCGCAGGGUGGAUGCCUUGGCACUGAGAGCCGAUGAAGGACGUGAUAAGCUGCGAAAAGCUUCGGGGAGGAGCAAAUAUCCAUUGAUCCGGAGAUAUCCGAAUGGGGAAACCCACUUGAGCAAACCUCAAGUAUCCAUACGCCAAUCCAUAACGUAUGGAAGGGAACCGGGGGAACUGAAACAUCUAAGUACCCCGAGGAGAAGAAAGAAACCUCGAUUUCCAAAGUAGCGGCGAGCGAAAUGGAAAGAGCCCAAACCGUGGUGCGUGCACCGCGGGGUUGUGGACUGCAUAAGGUACUCGAAUCAAUAGCCGAACAGUUUUGGGAAAUCUGAUCAGAGAGGGUGAAAAUCCCGUAGGCGAAAUUGAUGAGAGGCUGGCAGGAUCCAGAGUACCACGAGACACGGGAAACCUUGUGGGAAGCAGGAGGGACCACCCUCCAAGGCUAAAUACUCCUCAGUGACCGAUAGCGCAUAGUACUGUGAAGGAAAGGUGAAAAGGACCCCGGGAGGGGAGUGAAAGAGAACCUGAAACCCUGUGUUUACAAGCUGUGGAAGUGCCUUAUGUGCACAACCGCGUACUUUUUGUAGAACGGUCCGGCGAGUUACGUUUACUGGCAAGGUUAAGCACUCAAGGUGCGGAGCCGAAGGGAAACCAAGUCUUAAGAGGGCGUGAAGUCAGUAAGAGUAGACCCGAAACCGGGUGAUCUACCCAUGUCCAGGCUGAAGCUGCCGUAAGAGGUAGUGGAGGGCCGAACGCACAUCCGUUGAAAAGGGUGGCGAUGAGGUGUGGGUAGGGGAGAAAUUCCAAUCGAACCCGGAGAUAGCUGGUUCUCCUCGAAAUAGCUUUAGGGCUAGCCUCGUUUUAGUCUUAUGGAGGUAGAGCACUGAAUUUCCGCGGGGGCGUCAAAGCUUACCAAAGAAUAUCAAACUCCGAAUGCCAUGUAGAUGAUGAACGGGAGUCAGACUGCACGAGAUAAGUUGGGCAGUCAAAAGGGAAAGAGCCCAGACCUGCUGCUAAGGUCCCAAAGUACGUGUUAAGUGGAAAAGGAUGUGGGAUUUCGAAGACAACUAGGAUGUUGGCUCAGAAGCAGCCACACAUUCAAAGAGUGCGUAAUAGCUCACUAGUCGAGAGGUCCUGCGCCGAAAAUGUCCGGGGCUGAAACACGACACCGAAGCUUAGGAAUCACAUAGUGAUUGGUAGAGGAGCAUUCUUAAAACCGACGAAGCUGUACCGGAAGGAGCAGUGGAGGGAUAAGAAGAGAGAAUGCCGGAAUGAGUAGCGAGAGAGAGGUGGGAAUCCUCUCGGCCGAAUAUCCAAGGUUUCCAGGGUAAAGCUGAUCUGCCCUGGGUAAGUCGGGGCCUAAGGAGAGGCAGAAAUGCGUAUCCGAUGGACAGCAGGUUGAGAUUCCUGCACUAUCUUAAAACAGAACUGUGGGGACAUUUGUGGAGAGCACAGGCGCGGAACGGAAAGCCGCGUGCAAGCGAAGGAGGAGUCACAUAGGAAAAACCGUGUGGCAAUCCAAAGGCGUGAUGCGGACCGAAUUAAAGUAGGGAAGUGUGUGAGCCAUGAAUCAAGAAAAGCCGCUAUUGUUUUUAAGAUACCCGUACCGUAAACCGACACAGGUGGAUGAGGAGAGAAUCCUAAGGCCGGCGGAAGAAGCAUUGUUAAGGAACUCGGCAAAAUGACCCCGUAACUUCGGGAGAAGGGGUGCCACAGAGAUGUGGCCGCAGAGAAUAGGCUCAAGCAACUGUUUAGCAAAAACACAGGUCUAUGCAAAACCGUAAGGUGAGGUAUAUGGGCUGACGCCUGCCCGGUGCUGGAAGGUUAAGAGGAGAGGUUAGCGCAAGCGAAGCUUUGAAUUUAAGCCCCAGUAAACGGCGGCCGUAACUAUAACGGUCCUAAGGUAGCGAAAUUCCUUGUCGGGUAAGUUCCGACCCGCACGAAAGGCGUAAUGAUUUGAGCACUGUCUCGACAAUGCAUCCGGUGAAAUUGAAGUACCAGUGAAGAUGCUGGUUACCCGCGCCAGGACGGAAAGACCCCAUGGAGCUUUACUCCAGUUUGGUACUGGGGUCCGGCAGUGCAUGUACAGGAUAGGUGGGAGGCUGUGAACCUGGAACGCCAGUUUCAGGGGAGCCAUUGUUGGGAUACCACCCUUGUGCUGCUGGGCUUCUAACCAGCGGCCUUUAUCAGGCCGGGGGACAAUGCCAGACGGGGAGUUUGACUGGGGCGGUCGCCUCCGAAAGGG